rnacentral:misc_RNA from 1 species
AAUUUAAUUUCUCUUCUAAAAAUCAUGAAAGAAGUAAAAUUAAGUGAUCCCAUUGUUAGUGAAAUAAUUUUUUUUUUGGAGCAUACUAUCUCAUUUGCAGGCUUGGAUUUUCUGAUACUAGUAACACAUGAUCUAUCUACCACCAAAUUAUAUCCGUUAACAGUUUGGAAGAGUUUUGGAUUAAGAAUUGAGAUUGUUCCAAUAUGAUAGAUCAU